GGGAAACUUACCAGGUCCUAACAUGUGUAGGAUUGACAGACUGAAAAUAUCUUUCUUCAUUUCGUGGGUGGUGGUGCAUGGCCGUUCUUAGUUGGUGGAGCGAUUUGUCUGGUUAAUUCCGUUAACGAACGAGACCUUUUCCUGUUUAGUAGUGACUGACUUUUCAAGUAUUAGAAUCUUCUUAGAGGGACUUUGUGCGUUUAGUGCAAGGAAGUAGGAGGCAAUAA
rnacentral:rRNA from 1 species